rnacentral:rRNA from 1 species
AUUGAACGCUGGCGGCAGGCUUAACACAUGCAAGUCGAGCGGGCCCUUCGGGGUCAGCGGCAGACGGGUGAGUAACGCGUGGGAACGUACCCUUUGGUUCGGAAUAACUCAGGGAAACUUGAGCUAAUACCGGAUACGCCCUUUUUGGGGAAAGGCUUGCUGCCGAAGGAUCGGCCCGCGUCUGAUUAGCUUGUUGGUGAGGUUAUGGCUCACCAAGGCAACGAUCAGUAGCUGGUCUGAGAGGAUGAUCAGCCACACUGGGACUGAGACACGGCCCAGACUCCUACGGGAGGCAGCAGUGGGGAAUAUUGGACAAUGGGGGCAACCCUGAUCCAGCCAUGCCGCGUGAGUGAUGACGGCCUUAGGGUUGUAAAGCUCUUUUCUCCGGGACGAUAAUGACGGUACCGGAGGAAUAAGCCCCGGCUAACUUCGUGCCAGCCGCCGCGGUAA